ACUACACAAUAGGGUUUUUAAUGAAGUGCAAAUAAUGACAUGAAUAAUUACAAUAUAUUAUACUCCUAAUUAAAUGAUAGCAAACCUUUAUUUACUCGAUUCUAUUUUAUUUUUAACAUGAAGCAAAUCUCAUGUUGAAGUUUUCCGACCAUGUAAAAAACAAAAAAUAAGUGUGCCAUGAAUGAAAAGGAUUGAAAAGGCCUUACUGUGCCAACUACCCCCUGAACCACUUAACAAGACAACUCCAAUCAAAACAUAUAGAAAAUAACACAAAAUUAUGUAAUAUGAAGUGCACGCACCUCCAUUGAUCUCUUCAUCAGUGGCUCCCACCCACUAUAUACAUGGACUUGGAUUUCUUGAAGUCAAGAGUUCACUCAUUCACUGCAUCAGUCAAGGUUAUCAAUAUCAAGAUC
rnacentral:lncRNA from 1 species